AAACCAACCGGGAUUGCCCUAGUAACGGCGAGUGAAGCGGCAAAAGCUCAAAUUUGAAAUCUGGCAUCUUUGAUGUCCGAGUUGUAAUUUGAAGAGGUUACUUUGGAGGCUGGCUCUUGUCUAUGUUCCUUGGAACAGGACGUCAUGGAGGGUGAGAAUCCCGUCUGGCGAGAGUUUCAGUUUUCAUGUAAAGUAGCAUUCGACGAGUCGAGUUGUUUGGGAAUGCAGCUCUAAGUGGGUGGUAAAUUCCAUCUAAAGCUAAAUAUUGGCGAGAGACCGAUAGCGAACAAGUACAGUGAUGGAAAGAUGAAAAGAACUUUGAAAAGAGAGUGAAAAAGUACGUGAAAUUGUUGAAAGGGAAGGGCAUUUGAUCAGACAUGGUGUUUCGUGCUUCUUGCUCCUUGUGGGCGGGGAGACUCACACGGUUCACUGGGCCAACAUCAGUUUUGGCAGCAGGAUAAAACUUUGGGAACGUAGCUUUCUUCGGGAAGUGUUAUAGCCCUUGGCAAUACUGCUAGCCGGGAUUGAGGACUGCGCAUAAAUGCAAGGA
rnacentral:rRNA from 1 species